CGCGGGCAGGGCUGGGCAAGGCAGGAGGAGCGCGGACCCAAGAUCGGCUACGCUGUGUCUGCUCAGGCUGCGAGUUCCCGGCUCUGGGGACUCACCUUGCGGAGCUCACCCAGGCGGACUCUCCGCAGCCCCGGAUGGGUGUGUCAGACCGUUUACUAAACACCGGGACUGUUGUAGGCGACUAUGUGGGGAAUCCGAAAUUUCUAGCUUUUACUGGGACACACAGCUAGCAAGCAACUAAAGCAAGAAUUCCAACCUGAGCUCCAAUCCGAACUAUUUUCAUAAAAGGCAGGAUCCCAGGCUGAGGGAGUUCGAGGUUUGGGAGACACUUUAGCAGUCGCUGAGUCCAAACAUGUUGUUUUCCUAGAAAAGGAAACAGAUCCAGGAAAGGGAAGUUAUUUUCCAAAGACACACCUGUGAAAGGUGAGGAGAACAGCCCAGUGAGGCUGAGGCCACACAAUUAGCCCCAGUCUUUGCACUGCAACUCUACCAGGGAUCCUGGUUUGGCUCAUUUUCUUUCUUCUCCACCAUGAUUGUUCACCUUUUCAUUACCAGCAACAUACCCAAAGACCUAGCUAUAGACUCGUUGGAAUCUGUUACUUAGCAGCUGUGUGAAUCAAGUGUUCAAUAGGAAUAAUGAUAUUAAGAUCUAUUCAUCUUACCUUUUCAGAACAUUAUGAAGAACAAAUGUGGUAAGACAUAUGAGAAUGCUUUGUAAAGUGUUAGAUGCUUAAUACACAGAAGACAUUGCUUCCAGAUCUGCUUCAAUGUACCCUAAGAAUGGAAUAAGUGGAAUAUGCUGGUUUCAUGCACUGUGGCAAAGGGGUCUCAUCUUGGCUAGACUUGAAUAAGUGGAUUUGUUGCCUGGCCUCUGUGGAUGGCUCUUUCUCUAGGCUUUUGUGUAUUUGAUUUUUUAUUUGCUCCAGCAACCAUGUUGAACCAUGAAAGGACCUCAGGAAUGAAACCCACACACAGCAAAGCAACAAAGUGAAAGUGGCGUGGAUUCCUAAUGCAGGAGGCACUGAACCAAUCAAUACCCACUGCCCUCCAGACCUCCACAUGAAAGAAAAAAACUGCUGUCCUGUGAAGAAGACACUCCCCAGAUGCCAGCAACUUGAUAUUGGACUUCCCAGCCUUUAGAACGGUGAGAAAUAAAUUUUUUUUUCUUUAUAAGUUACCCAGCCUCUGGCAUUCUGUUAUAGCAGCACAGAACAGACUAAGACAGCCACUGAAACCAGAUCUAUGUCCCGGACCACCCCCAUUUGCCUCAAUUUCUCUCUAUAUAUAAUAAGAACAAAUAAUGCAAAUGCUAUCUAUACUUCCCCGUGACUACAGGGAGACCAAGAAGGGAUGAAAUAUACAAUCACACUUUGAAAAUAUUUAAAUGUUAUCCAACCAUACAUCCAUUGUUUCACAUCAGGCUGGGCCACAUAGCUUCCUCUGUACCCUUUAGUUUCCUGCCCUUAUCUCUAUCACAGGCCAUAUAUCAAAUGCCUAGUAAUUAUCAGUGCAUCUAUAUAUUCCCUAUUCUCCUCCCCAACAAUACAUAAAAGGUUAUUGCAUUGCAUUGAAUUAUAAGACUCGAUUACUGGAAAGUCUAGACAUCACUCAGGGUCAUUGUGGGCCAGCAUGGGGAUUAUGCAGUGUCAUUAUCCACUAAGCACACUGGAGGUCACACCAGUGAAGUAGCAUGUCAGAUGUAAGCAAGACAGAGCUGGGUUGUGAAACUCUGGAACCAGCUGAGCUGAAAGUUUGUGUAAUUUCCUUCCUGCUCAGAGAUGGUUCCAUAUAGUAGACAAAGAGGAGACAUGGUGCUUCUCUGGUAACCUGUGGAGGCCCUGUAAUGCUCUAACUGCAUUCUGUGAAAGCUUUUCCUGCAUUAGCAACCUGCCCAUUACCAGAGAAAAGAGAUAUUUUCCCUAAGAUUCUUAGAAUCAUAGCACAGAAAUAGAUCUUAUUAUUCACUUAUUCAUUCCUACAUUUAUGCAUUCAUUCAACAAAGAUUUAUUGAGUACUGUUCUAGGCAUUAAAGAGAUAGUGUUGAGAUGAACAGACAUUUUCCUUGUCCUCAUGAAACUUACAGUCAGGAAGCAGACAUUAAAGAAAUAAGCACACAAAUAUGUAGUUGAUUCAAGUGCAAGUAGAAAGGAAAACAGAAAACUGUAAGAGAGGGAAGCUGAUUUUGAUUGAAGUUUAAUUUAGAGUGGUGAUUUUGAAGAGGCAGAUAACAUUAUGCACAUUGUCUGUGGUCUCAACAACUCUAUGAAGUGCCUAUUACAACUAUUGUACAGAUAGGGAAACCGAGGUUUAUGGAAAUUGGGUGACUGGGCUAGGGAAGCACUACUAGUAAGUUUGGAGCAGGUUGUGCUCUCCCUGGUACUCCAUGCUGCAUAACAGAAACCCAGAAGGUGAAAAUUUUCCCACUUCCCACCUUUGCACAUACCAUGCCUACUUCCACCUAAAAUGCCUCUCCCUUCAUUCUUAUUGGAUUCAUAUUCUGCCCUCAGUAUCUAGUUGAGGAUGUACCUCCUCUGUAAGGUACCUCCUUCUAUCUCAAUAAAUCUCUUUUCUUGUAGGAUUCCUGCAACAAUCAUCAAAUAUUACUUACAUGGCCUUGAACCUAGGAUAGCUUGUCAAGUUAAUUCUUUUUUUCACAUGCUUGCCCUGAUGCUCUUAGUCAGAGGCCUACAGACAGUACAAUGCCAUUAGAGCCAGACAGACUUGGGCAUUAUCCCAGUUCUACAGACUGUUUGAUGGAUGAGCUGAAGAAAGUUUCUUAAUCUCUCUGAACCUUAGAUUCUCCUUGGAGAAUGAUUAUAUCUUACAAAAUACCUUUAAGCAUUUGUCACAGUACUCAACAGACAGAUAAUGUUUGAUACCCCUUCUAACCAAUUCCAUUUUCUAGAUUGGAAGCCUCUCGAGGGCAAAAACCUGGAAUUCUACUUCACAAUCUCAGCAACUAGCAUAGGGCUCUAUAAUAGCAGGUGAUUAAUACCUGGUAUAUAAUUAUGGUGAUGACAGCCCUUACCUGCCUACUGCAUCUCUCAUUACUAAUCAGAUUUGUUUUCUCCUAUCUUUCUUCCUUUCUUUCUUUCACCAUUUAGAUUCCUUUAAGCCUCUCUAAAACUUGACCCUCUGGCAUGAACAGGUGUCAUUACAUACACACACUCUCUCUCUUCCCAAUUCGCCCCAUCAUAUCAAAGGGAAAACUGAAAUGGUCCACUGUAGACCUGGCAGAUGAUCGCAAACAGGAAACCAGUAAUCAGAAGUGCCUACUGAGCUCCCCACCCUGACCAUCACCUACAGCUACAUUUUACAGAUACAAAGUCAUUGUUUGUUCAACUUUCAUAUCAAAGGAUGCUAUUAGUUCAUUUCCAAAGGUGGGAAAAUGUUUCAACUUACUUUAUUACUUGCCUGCUACUUACUAUUUUCCCUCCAUUUGCCUGCCUGACUUCUUUUAACUCUUCACUCAACAAAUAUCUACUGACUACUGAGCACUCGCCAAGUGCUAGGCCAGAGCUGGAUGCUGUACUACCGGCAGAUGAAGUGCUAUGGGCAUCCAGAGGUGGAAGAAGAGGGUAUAGCGAAAGGGGAGAAAAGGCUGCAACAAUAUUCACUGAGCCCUGUGCUCCCAGAUCAUCACAUAGACUAUGUCAUUAUUCCUUCUAACCACCCACAUGAGUAAAUAGGGGCUAUUACUGCAGAAACAGAGGCUUACAAAGGUUGAGCAACUUGCCCAAGGUCAUCUAUCACAAGACACUACAAGUCAGACUGCUGAAGAGGGAGUUUCUGCUGAGAAGCUGAAGUGGGCAGCUCAUAUUGGAUAUGAAGGCUUCAAAGGAAUCUAAGUCCUAAUGAUCCCGCUAGAACCAACGUGCAGCACCAGUUUUCUCUUCCACAUUUGAACUGCUCAACCACUCCCGGUUCCAAGACCUCACUCUCCAUCUAAACUAGUCCCACACCAUCCAUAUCUUUCUCCACUAACGCCACCCGAUCACAAUCCCACAGCCUCUUAGUCAUGAGUCAUUUUUUACAAACUGCAAACCAUGUAAUGAGCCAUGGCAAUAUGCAACCCUAAACCUCAACACGUGUUUUCCACAACAAGGCAACAGGUGGCAGAAGCGAGCCUAAGGCCAUAGGAUACUAAGGCAGGACUCUCUGGCUUGAGCUUUCCAAAAAGGGAGGUGAGAGAAGGUCUACCUGCGGGAAGGCAUGCUGAAGGCCUGAGGCUGGGUCAGAGAAGCAGCCCCCUGGAGGCUCUGCAGUGCCUGGACUUCAGGUAGAGGAACUCUGCCAUGAAUGCCUCUGGAAUUGUGUCAUUUUGGGACAAUUAGAGAAUAUCGGUUUUCAGACUGAGUUCUAUGGGAAGGUGCCUGCACAACAAAGGAGAGACUGAAUGGACUUCAGGUCUUCCAAAAUACCCCUCAUUCUCACCAAGUUGCUCUCUGCUCUAAGAUACCAGAUGAGGGGGCCAAUGGGGACUGAAACCCAGUCCCCACUCUGCUGGCCAAUCCCUGUGCCUCUGAGGCUGCUCUGUCCUACCAGAGAGGGCAACUUUUCCUAAUUUGCACCAAGUACAGAAUAGGAUAGUGUAGCUUUACCCUUCUCCCUAUCAUCAACCACAGACACAUCGACACAUGCACACAUACAGCUACACAAAUAUACCUACGGGCAUACACAUACAACACAGGCACAUACAUGUUUGCACAAAGGCACAUGUAGACACAAACACAGAGCACACAGACACAAACACAGGCACAAACCCAUACUUACACUACACACACACACAAACACACAGACACACAAAUGCAAAUUAAGCCACAAUGUAGCACAUAGAGAUAUAGACACAGACGCAAAUACAGUCACAUAGAGAUAUAGACACACACUCAUACACACAUAUAUGUAAAUAUACACACAGUCUCAUUCACUUUAUACCACACAUGUAUAAACAUACACAAUCGUAUGUAGACAUACACAUAGGCACUCAGACCACAUAGAUACAUAUGUACACACGUACAAACAUAUGCACAUACACAGAUAUAUAUAUACACACAUACAUCUUUAACCAGAACAACUUUACUUUUGUCAGUUUUAUAUGACAGAGUCUGUAAAAAAAGAUUUCAUCUAGCUUGUGUUCUACUAUUAAAAGAGAAAAUGAA